rnacentral:lncRNA from 1 species
CCAGGUGCCCUGUCUUUGGAGCAGCUACAGGAGUCAGGCCCAGACUAGAAGAGCCCACACUGACCUUCUGCAUCACUUAUGCUCUCUCUGGCCACUACAUCACAAACAGUGCUUAUGACUGGGCCUGAAUCUGCCAGCCCAGGAAAGGGCUGGAAUGGAUGGGGUGCAUUGGUAGUGAUGGUGGGGGUCCUACUAGCCUGUGGCAAAUGGAAGCAUCUCUUUUUUAUCAGACUGAAUAAUA